UGGGCGUUUAUCCUAAUGGUAAGCCGCUUGGCUGUAAACUAAGUGGUUCAUCCAUCCUCAGUUCUAUUCUGAGACGCCCAA